ensembl:miRNA
GGAUGUGUUCCUGUCCCAGAAGGAGCUGAUGGUUGUAUCUAUGAAGGUAAGCAUUUUUGUAGAUAGGAGCACCAGUCACCCUAAGCAAAGGCAGAGAAUGCUUA